CAGUUCUAAGUAAUACAAACAUGAUAUGGCCUCCCUAUGUUGUACCUUUGAGAGGAGAAUAUUUUGGAGUAAAUUUAGAUGAAAACAUAUAACAUAAAUCUUCAUCUCACUUGAUGUUUAAAACCUUGGGUGGUCAUUAACAUGAUGAUAAGUGAAAAGGGGUUAUUUAUAUGUUAUGGAUUGAUAUGAAUGACUUGCAAGUCGAGAAAUAACAUAUCCGGUGAUAAUAUGCCCCUAAUGGAAUAAGUGUUGUAUGUUUUGAAUACAUGAAGAAAUAAAGAAUGAUUUUAAAGAACUAAAAGUCACUACUGAAAAUUACCCUUAUGAUACCAAACUUUUUGGCUUCUUCAAUGCCACUGCUGCUCCGACUUCAAUUUCAUUUCUCAACUUUUUACUUCAAUUUCUGAGCAAUUUUAGGAUUUUCUUCUUCAAUAUGGUGAUUUUAAGGUUAGGAUUUUCCGCUCUCAAAUCCAAUCAACACAGGGUUGUCAAAACUCCUGGUCUGGAGGAACUGAACGAUAAUGUUGCUGAUUUGGAUAUUGCUGAACAGAUGGAGCAAGAUGGGAAUUUGCUUGACGCUGUUUUUACGUUGCAAAAAUUGGGUUGGAAGUGGUGGCGCAGGCACAAUGUCAAGUUCCGCUUUCAAGAUAUCAAAUUCUGGAAAGCAGCUUGCUCGCAGUGAAAUUCAAAGAAACUAAUGAUCUGAGGCUACAACUUUUUCUAAGAGUAAUUAAAUAUUGUUUGAUAGAUUGGCCAUGGCUUGGAUUGCUGAAUGCCUUCAGAAUAAUCUUGAAUACAGUGCUAAUUGUGGAACGAUUGUUCAGGGAGCAGUACCUCACCCCCUCGAGAAAAUGACCAAGGACUUCUUUUCGAACAUCAACAAUAUACUGAAGAAAGCUGCCGAGGAAUUUUAUACCAAAGUUUAAGAAAUAACUUGCUUUAACCUGCCCAUAUAAACCAGAGGGAGCAAUGUGAAUAACGGACGGGAAGACACUGGACAAUCAGUUGGAAGUUGCUGAAGGGAUGAAGUUGGAUAGGGGUUACAUAUCACCAUACUUCAUCACAAAUCAGAAGAAUCAGAAAUGUGUAUCGUUUUGGUUUACUAAUCUUAGUUAAGCUCGCACAUGUGGACAGUGAAGCACUUGCAACUCUUAUUUUGAAAAAUCUUUAUGCUGGAAUCAAGCUGUGGUCUACCUACAUCAAGAGGCCAAUGGUACUUACUGGAAAUGGUGCUUGUAGCCAUGGCGGUGAUUCCAGUCUCUUUUGCUAUAUCAUAAGUAUUACAAAUCUGAGCCAUAAUCUAUCUAGCUUGGACUCUUUGAGAAUAUCGAUGUUCGACACGAGUGUGCUGGGAAAGUGGCAGGUUUGAAAAAGCACAAAAGUUUCCGCAUAAAAGGAAAAAAGCCUAGCUCAGAGACGGAAUGAGGGUUGCAGAGAGUAGAGAGGAAAGUUUAAAGCAGAGUAAUUGGAUCUGUAUUUUGAUGAGGAAACCCAUAGGGUUGAUGACAUGCAACCGGUGAUUGAAGCCAUGGCAGUGUUUCCAGUCUCUCUUGCCAUUCGAGAAAUGAUACGUUAUUCAUCGACACAGGUGAUCGUAAGCUGCAGUUGAGAUUUUUAUCAAAACAGGAAGGGAUUAAGCUAUUAAAUGUAUCAUCACUAGAAGAAGGCCAAAGGUCUGUUGAAUUCCACAGAUUAAUUGGAGAGAAGACGGCAAGGCUUAAACCAGAUACAUUCGAAGUCGUAGCCCUUUCUUGUUACAUUGAUUACUGAAUGUGAGUCCUUGGAGAUAUCAGGAAAGCAAAAAGCAUUUGACUAAGUUGAAUCGUGCACAAACUCUUAGGACAUUUGUCUAAAAUGAGCACAGGAUGUGAGAUUCUCAUUUUUCAGGUACUAAGUACUAUACUUACUAUAUUUAUUGUCAUUGUCAAUUCUGUUUUCUUGCCUCUGUAGAAUCUUUAGGUGGUUUAUUUUUAUUUCUUGUGAAAGUGAAUACACAGAAAAUAUGUGUUUGCUUUGUUCCUGUGUAGAGAUCCUUAAAAUAGAACUGCAUUUGCAUAUGGAUGAAUUCCAUGUACAUUGUAUAUAUGUGACGAUAUAAACUAAAAAACAGAUAUGAUGCAACUCAUAUAUUAGUCUGCCUUUUACGCCAACAGCUCAAAAUGUUAGCUCAUAUCUCCAAAUUAGUAUGGUAAGAUUUAUUUGAGUAAGCCAAUGAUGACAAAGUCAGAUCGUGAAACUGCUACCUUAUUUCCAAAGGUUACAAGUUUGAGGAAUGUCACGUACUGUGACGAUCCAAACUAAGGCCCUAGCUGUGAUGGGUACCCCACACAUAUUUUUAUUAGCAAUUAUUUAGUCUCAUUAGAGGUUUAUAAGCACAUAGCAAAUUAGAACACUUCCAGUUAGUUCUUAUAAUAUUGGAGUAAAACAUGUUCAAUCGAAGCAACAUGGACAUUGAGGAUCCAUAUAGAGGACCUCCAUAUAAGAGAGCAUCAAUCUUAACAUUUAAUGGCAGUUUCUCCACUUCUUAUAUAAGGCAGUUUCUCAUUAAGGCAAAUGGCAUGACCAUCUCUGGACGUUCAAUUUACCUUCUUUAAUUGGGGAUAUAUAUUUUGCAUAUGUUCAUCUAUACAUCUUAAGAUAUUAGACUGCUAUAAUUUGUUCAUCCACCUUUACAUCUUAAGGCCUGCAGCUCUACAAUACUCUUAACUUGGAAAUUGAAAAUUAUACUAUAUACAUGAUUAAAAUUAUUUUUUAUGUAUAUAUAGUAGAUGUUUCAGUGUUUCGUGUUCCGUGUUCCAUGUUUAUUACGAAUCUGUGUGCUUUCCUCUGCUU